ensembl:processed_transcript
GUUGGCGGAGAACUUCGUUGCCACAGACAGGCCUAGAGUGGGUUUUCGCCUUUUUUUGUGUGAGGUUCUGCCCUGUUAGCAAACACAUUCAUCAUAGUUAAACACACAGACUUAAAUGUAAUGUUUGAGGCUUUUUGAAUACGAGUUCUCGGCUCAAGACAAAAACCUUUAAAAAAAUGGCUUCUUCCCCCAGCCUAAUGUGUGGUCUCUACAGCUCACAGGGGAUAUUCUGACUAAAGUCUUCAUUCUCUUCCUUUCCUUCCUUCCUUUCUUUUCUCACUGAAAAGAGUUCUGUGUGAAGCUGAAGCUGAAGGCUUUUUUUUUUUUUUUUUCUAAACAGCCCCACCCCUCUGGAAUUGUGGACCGUUUUCCACUGGGCUUAAUGUAUUCUAGAUAGGAGUAACCCAACCCUCUGACCCCUUUCUUAAGGUAGAUAUUAUUUGAAACUUCAUCGACUGAAGUCUGUUUGCCAGAAAAUCCUGUAUCUAUAUUCUUUUUCUUGGGGUUGGAGAGGGGGUAAAUUUCCUAUAUAAUAAACCCCUUUAAAGUUACAGUACAGUAGCACUCCCAACCUGUUUCAACUGUCUCCUCAGUUUAGUUGCAAGAGAUCACCCCAUCCACUCCCUUAGGAUAGAUACAUUCGCUGCCCUUCCCAUUUGCAAUCCUGUUUCUAUUUCCUUUUUCCCCAUUUCCCUGAACCUUUCCCAGCCCCAACAAUGAAUAAGCUUCCUGCAAGAUCUUGUAGUCCAGUGUUCAGAUACUGAAGAUAAACUUCUGUACGUUAUAGCUGAAUUUGCAUCCACAGUUGAACCUGACAUACCGUCAGGAUGACUUUCCCCUACUCAUUCUGAAGCCUUCCAGCCUUGAUUUUAAAGUAUAAACAAAUGGUAUGACAGUACAUGUCUAGUCUUAAGUCUCCAUACCGAGUGUCAGCAUCUGUGCUCAGCAGUUACUCUAGUUGAACUGCUUGUAUAGAAGCACUGCUUUCCUAAAUUUCAGAUAAGAAUGAACCAUUGAUAGAACUGUACCCAAAGUAAGACCUGACUAUGCCUGUAAACCUAGUGUCUGGGAGGUGGUGAAGGAAGAUCAGAAAUUCAAGAUCAUCCUCUCCUAAAUAAUGUGUUGUUGGUCAGCCUAGGCUAUAGUGAGACCUCCUCUCAAAAGAAAAAAAAUA